rnacentral:rRNA from 1 species
GACGAACGCUGGCGGCGUGCUUAACACAUGCAAGUCGAACGGACUUCUGAUGAAACCUAGUGAUUCGGAAGUUAGUGGCGGACGGGUGAGUAACGCGUGGGAAACCUGCCCUGUACCGGGGGAUAACACUUAGAAAUAGGUGCUAAUACCGCAUAAGCGCACAGUAUCGCAUGAUACAGUGUGAAAAACUACCGGUGGUAUAAGAUGGACCCGCGUCUGAUUAGCUAGUUGGUGAGGUAACGGCCCACCAAGGCGACGAUCAGUAGCCGGCCUGAGAGGGUGAACGGCCACAUUGGGACUGAGACACGGCCCAAACUCCUACGGGAGGCAGCAGUGGGGAAUAUUGCACAAUGGGGGGAAACCCUGAUGCAGCGACGCCGCGUGAGUGAAGAAGUAUUUCGGUAUGUAAAGCUCUAUCAGCAGGGAAGAAAAUGACGGUACCUGACUAAGAAGCCCCCGGCUAACUACGUGCCAGCAGCCGCGGU